CCAUCAGGCCCCAGUGUGUCUUGUAGAGCAUGCUGUUUUCCCGCAGAUUGUCUUAUCAGGGGUUGGCAAAGCUGCACCCUGGUAUAGCUCAUGGGAGGAGUCACCUCAACCGAACUGAACCCUUUAUGAGUUCCAAAAGAACCUUCUCAACAUCCAGUCAUUUAUUUAGCACCAGCAGGUCUUUGGAUAUGUAAUGUACUAAAAGGAAUUUGUGUCGGAAGGCGUGGUGUGACUUAACGGUUCGCUUAUACAUGACUAAAUGUUGAUUUUUUGCAGCAAAAGCCUCUCCUGAAUGUGUUCAACAGCCAACUAUGUUCUCCCUCUGAGGAGAACCUGUGAGGCAGCAGCUACGCCAGGCAGGCUGUGUGGAGGAGUGUCCAUGCAAACUAAUUUCCCUGGAGUCAGGUCUCAUGGAGCUCCUCAGGACACGGAGAUGGAUGUGGCCUGGCAGGAGCUGAUGGCCAUCACAGAGUUGCAGGUAACUAUAGCAGUUGAUACACUAGGUGCACUUCAUAGAGUUUCUAUUUUUUUUGCUGCAAAAUGUUACAUUACUGAUCUCAGCUACAAAUGUAUAUGCCUUAUCGCCACACUGCAUGCCUUACUAUCAUGGAGGUGCAUGUUCAAAUUUUUUUUUUCAACAAAUGCAUGGGUCAAUAUAUAAUUGGGGGACUUUUGAAGUCCAUGGGAUAUAAUUUGCAAACAUUUUUAUGAAAAGUAAAAAAAUAUAUAAUUUUUUUAUGUUCAUUAUGAUCAUGUCUUUACAAAUUCCAUAAUUAUUUAAUAUGGAAACAAUCAAUUAUUAAUAAAAAAUAACUGGAUAUCACUAAAUUGUUAACUAAAUAACCAUCCAAUCUUAAUAACAACCACCUUCAAAUUAGCUAAACAAUAAUAAAAUAAGCUUAUUCAAAAAUAGUUUUGAUUGUGUUCUUUUUAUUAAGUUGAGAUAAUCAUGACAGAUAUUUUUUUGAAAAUAUAUCAAAUUUUAUAUGGAAUAUAACAAAUUGUAUUUGUGUCCAAGUAAUCACUUUCAUUUAAGUUACCCAUUACAAAAACACCUCUCAAGGAAGUGUGUUAAUUCCAGAUCACAUGACCUGCUCCACAUGAUGUCAUUUCCUCCUGAAGAAAAGACUGGCCAGACUCCAAGGCUUUC